rnacentral:rRNA from 1 species
UACGAAGGGGGCUAGCGUUGCUCGGAAUCACUGGGCGUAAAGCGCACGUAGGCGGAUUUCUAAGUCAGGGGUGAAAUCCUGGAGCUCAACUCCAGAACUGCCUUUGAUACUGGGAAUCUCGAGUCCGGAAGAGGUGAGUGGAAUACCCAGUGUAGAGGUGAAAUUCGUAGAUAUUGGGUGGAACACCGGUGGCGAAGGCGGCCCACUGGCUCGACACUGACGCUGAGGUGCGAAAGCGUGGGGAGCAAACAGGG